rnacentral:rRNA from 1 species
UACAGAGGUCUCAAGCGUUGUUCGGAUUUACUGGGCGUAAAGGGUGUGUAGGCGGUCGGACAAGUCUGAAGUGAAAUCUCUAAGCUCAACUUGGAAAAUGCUUUGGAUACUAUCUGGCUAGAGGGUCGGAGAGGAGGUUGGAAUUCUCGGUGUAGCAGUGAAAUGCGUAGAUAUCGAGAGGAACAUCAGUGGCGAAGGCGAACCUCUGGACGAAUCCUGACGCUGAGGCACGAAAGCUAGGGUAGCAAACGGG